CCCUGCGCACAUGGGCACAGGCUCCUCAGGGGCCUCUUCCUCACUGCUGCCAGCCUCCCCAAUCUCCGAAGGCAGCACCCCACUCCCUGAUGGUCCUGGCCCCAUCCCUGCAUCCCACAGGCCCCUCAUCUGAGUCCUCGCUCUCUGAGACCUCAGCCGUCCAGCACCUGCUUCCAGCAAACCACAACACUUCCUUAGGAUGACUUCUCCCAUGGACCUAGGUGUCUUCUGGUGCUGAAGGAACGUGUAGCCCAACCUUGUGUCUUCUCAUGAUGUGCAUAGAGGGAAUGAGUUAGGUCUUUCAGCUACUGAGAGAUGAAACCAGGGGUAAAACAUACCACGGUGAUACUACUGCAUGAUAACAAAAGUAGGAAUCAACCUUGCAUGAAGACAAAGAUAUCUUCAUUUGUGGACCUUAACCAUUGGGAGUUGUUCCUUCUCCAUUUGGGAGUGGUGGCCCAGGACAUACAUGCCCCAAUGCCUUUUGGAGGGGUCAAGCUUUGUGCCAAAACUGAGUCUCUUGUCCCCCUCUCCCCACCCGGAAUACGCCAAGGCAGUCCACGCAAAUUGUGUCUCCCUUCCAUUUCUCUCUGUAAUUGUAAUUCUUCUCUGCCUCAUUCCGAAUGUCUUAAUAUCUUGUAUUUAUUUUUGUUGACCAAGUAAAUGCUUUUCUUUUUAUUUUUUAACUGGGCUGGUUCUUUCAUCUGCCACCACGCAAAUAAGGUCACACACUCAUAAUCAUCCUCAGCUUAACGCACCAUCCAUCGUUAGACGCUACAGCCUGGCUCCAUUUUUACAACCUUUCUGGCUACCGUUAUUAAGCGAACACUGCCAUUUGUUCUGACCAAGGCUUCCUAGACUGUAAUUACGCACACGCUUAUUUUAAAAACAAGUCUUGUUUUAUUGCAACGCUGGGAAUUAUUUUCCUUCCCAGCUGGUAAUGAAUCUCAAAACAGUCCCUCGAGAUAAGCACCCACCUUUCUUCCCUGUGAAGUGCUGCCAAUAACAGAAAGUGUCCAAUGAACUAGGAAAAAAACCCAACCGAAGUACAAAGAGCUUCAAGAAUGAGUCUGAACCGAACGAACGACUUUGCUUCCUGCAAAGGUUUCAUAAUCUUGGCCUGACUUUUAUCCCUUAUGGAAGGGGCCAUCACCUCCCAGCCUUACUCCCGAA
rnacentral:lncRNA from 1 species